AAGCCCCCAGAGGAUGCUGACCCACAGACCACUCAUUUGAGUAUCAAGGAAGUAGACCAAGUGGCUAGCUACAGCUUACACAGCUAGUUGAUGGAGCCUGGACAAGCGGGUACUGCCCUCCCUUCUGCAGAGGAAGAAUUCAGGCUUCCAGCAGCCAAGGGCUUGCUUGCGUGCGGCUGUGUCAGGACUGCAAUUCAAGCCCCUAGUUUCUUGUUCAGGGCUUUCUUCACUCCACGAAGACCAUCAUUCUAACAUCCUACAAAUGUCCGGUGCAAAUGUCUGUGUGAAAUAUAUGCUCUUUUCUGUCUGUUUACUUCAGACUCUGGGGAGAGAUCGGAGAGACAUUAGUAACUUCUUUUUUCUUUCCUCAAGUCCCUGUGACGAAAUGACUGUUUCUGCAGUGCUUGUUUUCUGGGCCCUGGAAAGAUUCCAAAGCUGUCACUGUGUUUUCCAUCUGGCACUUUUUCAAGAAUCUCUCUGCUGCUUCCUGCAGCCUGGAGGUCGUCCUGCAGAGGCCCCUCUACCACCCCUGACAGGCUGGUGGGGCAGGACAUAGGCAUCACGGAGCUGUGCAAUAGGCAGGAACAGCUUGACGAGGGGGCGGGCGCCCCAUUGCGUGCAAACUCACUCCAAGACGGGGAAGCGGCCCCCAGAGACAUGGUUUUCAAAAGUAGAAAACUACCUGCUAAUUUGUUACGGAAACUUUAAGUAUUGAAUGAAUCUAGUGAUUUUUUAAAAUAUAAUUCAACCUAUGGGAAAAAAUCCAGCUUGACUUUCUUGAAACACUCACGGGUCACACUAUUUGGAAAGCAACACUGAAAAGAAACUUUGGAACUUCCAAGGGAAUGUGGAUGGUGAGUGAGCCUCUGCAUUACAGAGUUUGAGCCGUCCCACCUCCCCAAGAACGCUCAGGACCUCAAAGACCCAGCCAGAAAAGACCAAAGAGAUGAUGGAAGUCACAGCUUUGCAGAAACUUCAGAAAAUUUGUGUUUACAAAAGGGUUUGCAAUAAAAGCUGCUGCUCACGUUUUCCUUCUGAAAUAGGUCAAGGAAGUGAAACUCUGGAAGGUAACUCACAGGUGCAGGAUUCCUCUGGACCUGUAAGAAGCUGACGGGCAUUGUGGCCACCGUACGAUGGCGUAGGGGACCUGGCAUUUCCCAGACUCUUUCCCUUCCGACCAGCUGGAAGCUGGAGCUGGGAGCAGCAGUGACCUAGCUUCAACCAUGCAGGUGAUGACGGAGUUACAGGAAGGGAGGAGCUGUGCUCCCUGAAAGACCUGUGGAACAGCGCUGGCCCUCCUGUCUGGGAUGCUUGCACUGGGGCUAAGUGACAAAGACAUAAAGGUUUGAAGUACGUAAUAAUAAAACUGAAAGUGAUCAAGAGAAUUUGUUGGCUACAGAUAUAUUCUGACUUCAGGAUAAUUUCAGUUCCACUGUUUGGUAAUAUCACCAGGAAUUGUUUUAUCUUAGACUUUGGGCUGCCUUGCUCUCGUAUUUUGACUGCUUCUUAAAAUGCCCCUCCACGUCCCAAGAUAACUACCAGCACCUUCUGGAAUUCAUGCAGCCUCAUUCAUUAUAAACAGAAAAGACUAUCUUUGUCCCCAAGUAGGGAAAACAUUGCUUCACCAAACAUAUGUUAAGAUCUUAUUCUUUGCCAAGUACUAGUGACGCAGAAAUGAGUCAGACGUGAUUGCUUAAAUGGGAAAGCUCGGAGUCAUCAUCUGGACAUCCACAAUAUUCCUAUUUCCUUCUGCGUAAAGAUUGUUUUUAAAAAUGCUCGUAUUCUGCGAUUUAUGAAGUGUGUUGAUGAGAAUUCAAACGUGAUGGUUGACGUGCUAGCAGCCAUCUUGUGACCAUGAGUCAACCUUGAAGAUGUAAGCCCUGUGCCAAGGUUGGUGAGCAGGAACAAGAAAGUGCAGGAAGACGGGUCAGUCAUGUAGCUCCGACUGUACUGCUGGGCCAUCUACCCCUGGACAUUUUUAAUGUGAGAGAAAAACACACCUCUAUCAUUUUUAAGCCACUGUCAUUUUAGGUUUAUAUUACUAGUAGCUGAACUUCAUCCUAACUGAUAUAAUGCUUGAUAAAUGUUUACAACUUAAAGUAAAGAAGUAUAAUUCUCAGAAUAACUUAUUCAGCACGGGCAGUCUAAGCCAAAGGUAGCAAAUCACCAGGCUGAAGCUGAAUCCAGAAACAAGUCAGGUUUAUUUUUUUUAAUGCAAUAAUUGCCAACAUCAGAAAGCUGGGCAAUUUCAUGUAAACAUUUAGAUUUCUUCUUCUUUAAAAUCAGGAAGGUUUAGCAACAUUGGGCCCAUACUCCUGCCUGGCAUCAGUUGAUGAAUGGUGGCUGCCC
rnacentral:lncRNA from 1 species